CCAAAUCUCGUUGAAACACCAGUUCCCGGACGAUCACCGAAGUUAAGCAACGUCGAGCCAGGUUAGUACCUAGAUAUGUAACCGCUUGUGAGUAUCACGCGCUGCAAG